CAAUGGUUUGGGAUAGCCCAUCCGUAGAAUUGCUGGUUUCAUGAAUAUUUAGCCCUUCUGUAGGUUGUAGCCAAUGUGUAGAGUCUAUAUGAACAUUUCCCGUUUCGUUAAGCAGUUCCGUAUGUAUUUUUGCUGAAACGGUAUCGUUGGCUUCGAUACGCAGUGGCAUAAUAUUCAGAUGUGCAGGAUGCCGCUCAUCGAACUGCGACGGCCUGUCUAUUCAGUUCUCACGUGGACCACCUUCAUCAGGAGAAAAAGUUCCUACCCAUGCGAAGACAUAACUAUUGGCUUACCCAAAAAGUAAUUGCGGAUUUUAUAAAAGAAACAAGCUAAAAGUCACAGCUGAUAACUGACAGAAGAAAGAAUGCAAUUACAGAGUCACAAGCUAUGAAAAAAGACAACAUUUAUGCAAAAACGGUAGUAGAUGAAGUAAAUAGCUACCGGGCGAAUGUAGUCCUUGGAGAACGUACGCCUCCCAUUGCACCUGAAGAAAUUGGCAGACCAGAGCAGUUCUGGCUCAAUAACGAUCCGGCAGAUGUAGACGCAUCAACUCCUACAGAGCACCGAUUGAUACCGACGUGUGUCCGCAUAGUGACCUGGGACCACACGACACACGUCAUCUGUUUAACAACCCAGCCAAACAACUCGACUCGACGCAGUUUCUGGAUCUGGAUAUUCAUCGGAAAUAAGCAUACAAAAUGCGGUAAUAACGGUGGCGGUUCAAACAGUGGUUCACCAUCACAUUAUCUACCUCCCGGACAUAGUCCGACGCCUUCAAGUACGCCUGUGUCUGAAUUAUCACCCGAGCUCCUGCCGCCAAUACUGAAGUUUAGCCCCAAUUGGGCUCUUACUCUCCGUUCGUCCGCCUCUUUCCGUCCGUAGAUCGUAACGUUUAUUGCUAUUUCCAAUACCAAAAAGGAAUACACUCUCUACCUACUCGAUCGGAACAAAACCCCCCGUGGAAAAUUCCUACCUGCCUAGAGAGGGCAAGGAUCGUAAAUUAACGAGAAGGGUCUAAUAAAAGAUGAGCAUCGGGAGAAAACUCCCUGCCUUUUUCUUUAUAAACUAAUUUCUUUGUGCUUUUUCUUUUUAGUUAUGGGUUUCCUCUCAAAAGUUCGUGUGAUGUAUUGGGUAUGAGUCGCGAGCAAUCACCUGGGGCACUGCGGACUGCCAGUGCCUUUACUGAUGUCCCACGAUGGUACAGAGGAGUUCCGCAAUGUGGUUUAGCUUGUAAUUCAAUUUUGUAUUUGCUUGUUUAGCCUUAGGAUAAAGUUAGUGUGUAAUUCACUUUUGUAGUUCAGCUUUUAACUUUAGCGUGUAAUUCAGCCUUUAAACUUGGCAUGUAACUCCGAUGUUAAACAUUAAUUUGUAUUACAAUUUUCAGAUUAGCUCCUAAUUUAGUUUUAAAAUCAGCUGAGUACAAUUUUUCCUCGCAAAGUGCACUAUCUGUAAACGAGUUUUGGUUGUGUGUGUGAAUUAAAGUUAAGAACCACGCCACACACAAACAACGAAAAAUGGUGCAAACUAGUAGCAUGCACAAAAUUACAGUUGCACUAAUCACUGAUUUUGACAGAUAUUGUGGGCAACUGCAAACAAUAUCUUGUUGGGUCUAAUUCAAUUUGCGUGCGGCCAAGAUAUAUUCAUUAACAGGUAGCGGCAGUUGCCCAAAAAAAAUAAAAAUACUGAGUGCACUAUCUGUCGAAAUCAGUGAUUGGUGUAACUCUGAUUUUGAGUAUGCUACUAGGUCGCGCACAACUUUCAACUUUCACAACUUUAGCAAUUUGUAGCCAUAAAAAAUCAGCUUUUGAACACAUUUGUUGAUUAUGUCAUACAAAAAUAAGAUACCAGUGUGAUAGCAAAAACGAUGAAUCGUAUGUAAAUUGGCAAUUUUGACACAUAAAAUGAAAUACCAAUAAUACAUAAAAAGUGAUCUCUCAUAAUACAAGAACAUGUAGUGUAAUAGAGCCUUUAAGGUACCAUCACACUACAUGUUCUUGCUUUAUGAGAUGUCAAAUUUUGCUGCUGUUAAAGUUGCACGCAUAGUGUGAUACGAAUAAAAAUAACACAAGAAAAUCACUUUUCAAAACACCACUGUUAUUUUUUCGAUUAGAGCGGUGCUCUAUUCCUUCUGAAAAAAAAAACAUAAAGAAAUCUGCUGUUUUUGUUGUAAGUUGAAUGAAAGAAACCCCAAAUUAAAUUGUUUUCACAACUCAACAACUUGUAGCUAUAAAGAAUCAUCUUUUGCUCUAAUUUUUAGGUUAUGUCGUACAAAAAUAACAUGCAAGUGUAAUAUCAAAAAUGGUGAAUCGAAUGUAAAUUGACAAUUUUGACACACAUAAUGAAAUACCAAUGAUACAUAAAAAAUGGCAUGUCAUAAGAUAAUAACAUGUAGUGUGAUAGAGCCUUUACAGACACAUAUUUAUUUGUUUAUGGUUUAUAGAUGAUUUUGUUAAAUAUUGGGUUGCCCAAAAAGUAAUUGUCGGUAAUAUAGUAGUAAUAUAGUCGGCAUUGACAAAUUUUUUUCAACGGCUUGUGAUUCUGU